AUACAAGAAAAUGAUAUAGAAAGUUGACAUUUGGUCAAAAGUGAGAAGAGAAGUCACUCCAUACAUAAUCCAUUUGGAAGUUGAGUACCGCUCCGUGUCUUGGUACAUCUUUUUCUUUUUUCUUUUUCUUUCUUUUUCUCUUUCUCUU
rnacentral:ribozyme from 13 species